AACGAACGUUAGCGGCGCGCCUAACACAUGCAAGUCGCACGAGAAAGGGCUUCGGCCUCGGUAAAGUGGCGCACGGGUGAGUAACACGUGGGUAAUCUGCCCUCGAGCGGGGGAUAACAUUCCGAAAGGAGUGCUAAUACCGCAUAAGACCACGACCUCGAAAGAGGAUGCGGUCAAAGCUGGCCUCUAUACAUAAGCUAGCACUUGAGGAUGAGCCCGCGGCGCAUCAGGUAGUUGGUGAGGUAACGGCUCACCAAGCCAAAGACGCGUAGCUGGUCUGAGAGGAUGAUCAGCCACACUGGAACUGAGACACGGUCCAGACUCCUACGGGAGGCAGCAGUGGGGAAUCUUGCGCAAUGGGCGAAAGCCUGACGCAGCGACGCCGCGUGAGUGAUGAAGG
rnacentral:rRNA from 1 species